rnacentral:rRNA from 1 species
AUUGAACGCUGGCGGAAUGCUUUACACAUGCAAGUCGAGCGGCAGCGCGGGGCAACCUGGCGGCGAGCGGCGAACGGGUGAGUAACAUAUCGGAACGUACCCAGUGGUGGGGGAUAACACAUCGAAAGAUGUGCUAAUACCGCAUACGACCUGAGGGUGAAAGGGGGGGAUCGCAAGACCUCUCGCCGUUGGAGCGGCCGAUAUCGGAUUAGCUAGUUGGUGAGGUAAAGGCUCAGCAAGGCGACGAUCCGUAGCUGGUCUGAGAGGAUGAUCAGCCACACUGGGACUGAGACACGGCCCAGACUCCUACGGGAGGCAGCAGUGGGGAAUUUUGGACAAUGGGGGCAACCCUGAUCCAGCCAUUCCGCGUGAGUGAAGAAGGCCUUCGGGUUGUAAAGCUCUUUCGGCAGGAACGAAACGGUGUGGGCCAAUACCCCAUAUCAAUGACGGUACCUGAAGAAGAAGCACCGGCUAACUACGUGCCAGCCGCCGCGGUAAGAC